UUGAAACAGGAACUACAUAACUGAAACCAAGGUAGAAGACCUGCCAUAAAAAACAUGACUAGACCUGAACUUAAAUCAUGAAAUGUGAAAAGACAAGCUGUUCAAACUAACCCCCGUUCAAAAUAAUGUGAAACAUGACUUUACCCAAGUUUAUACUGUGAAUGACAGACUAGACCGGUCUUGCUGUGGUUUCAGACCAGACCCAUCAGAACUCUGUGUAGAAAACCUGCUGCAUGUCAAAUGUGGAAACCCAAAGGACUUAAAUCUGGUGCACAUCCUGGUUCGGAAGACAGAACCUUCCAGACUGGUUUUUAUUGACAAUGCAGGAAGACCUCAUCAACCACAAGACAACCUCAACUUCAGACUGCUUGAAGGUAUUGAUGAGUUUCCAGAACGGGCCGUUUCAGUGCUGCAAUCAGGAUGUCUGGAGAGGAUGCUCCUUCGCUCCCUGUCUGUGGAUCGGGAAUUCUGGGUGAGCAGAGGAGAGGCGUCCGAACUCAAAUCCAUCAUCCGGCACGUUGAGCAAAGAGCCAAGGCCUUCCUCCAGUAUAUACAAGAGAAGAAACUACGACUUAACAGAGAUCUUUAACUCU